rnacentral:rRNA from 1 species
ACGAGGCGAACCGGGGGAACUGAAACAUCUAAGUACCCCGAGGAAAAGAAAUCAACCGAGAUUCCGAAAGUAGCGGCGAGCGAAAUUGGACUAGCCCUUAAGCUUUAUAGGCGUCAGGUGAACAAGCUGGAAAGCUUGGCGAUACAGGGUGAUAGCCCCGUAACUGACGACGCAUAUUCAGUGAAAUCGAGUAGGGCGGGACACGUGAUAUCCUGUCUGAAUAUGGGGGGACCAUCCUCCAAGGCUAAAUACUACUGACUGACCGAUAGUGAACCAGUACCGUGAGGGAAAGGCGAAAAGAACCCCUGUGAGGGGAGUGAAAUAGAACCUGAAACCGUGUACGUACAAGCAGUAGGAGCAGGCUUUGUCCUGUGACUGCGUACCUUUUGUAUAAUGGGUCAGCGACUUAUAUUCAGUGGCAAGGUUAACCAUCUAGGGGAGCCGUAGGGAAACCGAGUCUUAACUGGGCGUUCAGUCUCUGGAUAUAGACCCGAAACCAGGUGAUCUAGCCAUGGGCAGGUUGAAGGUUGAGUAACAUCAACUGGAGGACCGAACCGACUAAUGUUGAAAAAUUAGCGGAUGACUUGUGGCUAGGGGUGAAAGGCCAAUCAAACCUGGAGAUAGCUGGUUCUCCCCGAAAGCUAUUUAGGUAGCGCCUCGGACGAAUACUACUGGGGGUAGAGCACUGUUAAGGCUAGGGGGUCAUCCCGACUUACCAACCCUUUGCAAACUCCGAAUACCAGUAAGUACUAUCCGGGAGACACACGGCGGGUGCUAACGUCCGUCGUG